rnacentral:rRNA from 1 species
UGAGGAAUAUUGAUCAAUGGACGGAAGUCUGAACCAGCCAAGUCGCGUGAAGGAAGACGGUUCUAUGGAUUGUAAACUUCUUUUGCCUGAGGGUAAAACGCGGUACGUGUACCGCCUUGUAAGUAUCAGGUGAAUAAGCAUCGGCUAACUCCGUGCCAGCAGCCGCGGUAAUACGGAGGAUGCGAGCGUUAUCCGGAUUUAUUGGGUUUAAAGGGUGCGUAGGCGGGAUGUUAAGUCAGCGGUGAAAGUUUGUGGCUCAACCAUAAAAUUGCCGUUGAAACUGGAGGGCUUGAGUAUGUUUGGGGCAGGCGGAAUGUGUGGUGUAGCGGUGAAAUGCAUAGAUAUCACGCAGAACUCCGAUCGCGAAGGCAGCUUGCCAAGCCAUAACUGACACUGAAGCACGAAAGUGUGGGUAUCAAACAGGAUUAGAUACCCUGGUAGU